UCUUGGUCGUUUAGAGGAAGUAAAAGUCGUACAAGGUUUCCGUAGGUGAACCUGCGGAAGGAUCAUUAUCGUACAAUGGAGGUGCUGGGGUUGUCGCUGACUUUUGAAAGGGUCGUGCACACCUCGGUGCUCUCGCACACAAUAAAAACUCACCCCUUUUGUGAAUCACCGCGUGGAAACCCCUUUUGGCGAGUUCCGAUCCCCGGCUUCCCACCGUUUUAACACGGGCACCCUUUUAAUGCAAUGUGUAGAUGUAAAACUUUUUGCGAUCACACGCAAUCAAUCCAACUUUCAACAACGGAUCUCUUGGCUCUCGCAUCGAUGAAGAACGCAGCGAAAUGCGAUACGUAAUGUGAAUUGCAGAAUUCAGUGAAUCAUCGAAUCUUUGAACGCACCUUGCGCCCUUUGGCAUUCCGAAGGGCACACCCGUUUGAGUGUCGUGACAUCCUCAAAACCUUCCUGGUUUUUUGACCGGGAAG
rnacentral:misc_RNA from 1 species